rnacentral:lncRNA from 11 species
UCAAAGAAAUGUUUGUUAAAAGAUAUUCCAUCUCUGAUCUUGAGGGACUACAUUUUUUUCUUUAAAGGGGAAGUGUAUGGAACUCAUCAUAGAGGCAGAGGAAAUAAAAAGGGAUAUCAUCAUUUUCCUUCUGAGUCUCUCCCAUCCACUGAUACAAUCGGGGAAAUGCACGGAACUCAUCAUCGAGUCAGAGGAAAUAAAGAGCGAUAUCCACAUCUUCCUUUUCAGCAUUUCCCACCCAUCAGUACUCCACAUUUCCCCAAACAUAUCAGCUCAAAGAAAUGUCAAUGCAAACAUCGCUGUUCACGCAAUGAAUAUGCAGACUCAGCAUGCACCCAUGGUUUUCUCCACUGUUGUAAAAUGAGAGCUCCACCAUCGUAUCAUAAUUUCCCCAAAAUACCUCCGUAUCCUGUCAUCGCACCAGUUCCAUCUUCGUACCAUAAUGUCCCCAAAAUACCUCCCCAUCCUAUCAUCGCACCAGGGAGUUUUCUUGAGGACAGCGCCUUACCUCACAAUCCGUUUCUCAGUUUUCCUGACACACCUUUAACUCCCAUUGUGGCUUUAGAUUUCCCCAAACGUAUCAGCACAAAGAAAUGUCAAUGCAAACGUCGCUGUUCACACAAAGAAUAUGCAGUCUCAGCAUGCACCCAUGGGUUUCUCUACUGUUGUAAAAUGAGAGUUCCAUCUUCGUUCCAUAAUGUCCCCAAAAUACCUCACUAUCCUGUCAUCGCACCAGGUUACGUCCCACCUUAUGAUAGCAAUUGUCGGGGUAGAUGCAGGAGACAAUGUGCCUAUGAUGAAUAUAGAAUCUCCUCACGUUCCUGCCUCAUUCGUGGCUUAGUCUACUGUUGUAAAGUGAAUGCGACAUGUCAAGGAACCUGUAAGAGAAGGUGUAUAGGGAGAGAAUAUCCAUCUGGAAACAAAUUCUGCCCUUAUUUUGGUCAUGUCUACUGCUGCAACCCAUAAGCUAAACUAUGGUAAAAUAGCAUGCAGUGGAAUUACCAAAAUGCAGCAGUCAUUCCAUAACGGUGGAUCACUUCGACAGCAUCAGUCUCACAAACAUGAUACAUUGAAAAUUGAUUGUGAAGAAUCUCCAAGACUUUUUGAAAGUCUUCCAGAAAUUAACUCUCCCAUUCCUUUAUACAAAUGCUUUAACUUACUGCUCUUAAUAAAACCAAAUCUGUUGUGCAG